UACGUAGGGUGCGAGCGUUAAUCGGAAUUACUGGGCGUAAAGCGUGCGCAGGCGGUUCGUUAUGUCCGAUGUGAAAGCCCCGAGCUCAACUUGGGAAUGGCAUUGGAAACUGGCGGGCUGGAGUGUGGCAGAGGGGGGUGGAAUUCCACGUGUAGCAGUGAAAUGCGUAGAGAUGUGGAGGAACACCGAUGGCGAAGGACAGCCCCC
rnacentral:rRNA from 1 species